UACGUAGGGGGCAAGCGUUGUCCGGAUUUACUGGGCGUAAAGCGCGCGUAGCGGGCGGCCAAGUCCGGGGUGAAAGCCUCCAGCUCAACUGGAGAAGUGCCUCGGAUACUGGCCAUCUUGAGGGAGGUAGGGGCGUGCGGAACUUCCGGUGGAGCGGUGAAAUGCGUAGAUAUCGGAAGGAACACCGGUGGCGAAAGCGGCGCGCUGGACCUCUUCUGACGCUGAGGCGCGAAAGCCAGGGGAGCAAACGGG
rnacentral:rRNA from 1 species